rfam:Termitomyces sp. J132 unplaced genomic scaffold scaffold133, whole genome shotgun sequence.
UCGGAUAUGGUGUAAUGGCUAACAUUGCCGCCUCUCAUUUGAUUAACACUUAUUUCGCGGCAGCUCGGGGUUCGAUUCCCCGUAUCCGAA